AUUGAACGCUGGCGGCAUGCCUUACACAUGCAAGUCGAACGGCAGCACGGGAGCAAUCCUGGUGGCGAGUGGCGAACGGGAGAGUAAAGCAUCGGAACGUGCCCAGUCGUGGGGGAUAACGUAGCGAAAGCUACGCUAAUACCGCAUACGAUCUGUGGAUCCAAGCGGGGGACCGUAAGGCCCCCCGCGAUUGGAGCGGCUGAUGUCAGAUUAGGUGGUUGGGGGGGUAAAGGCCCCCCAAGCCGCCGAUCUGUAGCUGGUCUGGGAGGACGACCAGCCACACUGGGACUGAGACACGGCCCAGACUCCUACGGGAGGCAGCAGUGGGGAGUUUUGGACAAUGGGCGAAAGCCUGAUCCAGCAAUGCCGCGUGCAGGAUGAAGGUCUUCGGGUUGUAAACUGCUGUUGUACGGAGCGAAACGGGUUCCACUAAUACGGGGGGCGAAUGACGGUACCGUAAGAAUAAGCACCGGCUAACUACGUGCCAGCCGCCGCGGUAAGAC
rnacentral:rRNA from 1 species